rnacentral:tRNA from 1 species
GGGGCCAUAGCUCAGUUGGCUAGAGCGCUUGCAUGGCAUGCAAGAGGUCGGGCGUUCAAGUCGCCUUGGCUCCACCA